GGUGAACGCUGGCGGCGUGCCUAAGACAUGCAAGUCGAGCGGGCCGCGGGGUUUUACUCCGUGGUCAGCGGCGGACGGGUGAGUAACGCGUGGGUGACCUACCCGGAAGAGGGGGACAACCCGGGGAAACUCGGGCUAAUCCCCCAUGUGGACCCGCCCCUUGGGGUGUGUCCAAAGGGCUUUGCCCGCUUCCGGAUGGGCCCGCGUCCCAUCAGCUAGUUGGUGGGGUAAUGGCCCACCAAGGCGACGACGGGUAGCCGGCCUGAGAGGGUGGCCGGCCACAGGGGCCCUGAGACACGGGGCCCACUCCUACGGGGGGCAGCAGGUAGGAAUCUUCCGCAAUGGGCGCAAGCCUGACGGAGCGACGCCGCUUGGAGGAAGAAGCCCUGCGGGGUGUAAACUCCUGAACCCGGGACGAAACCCCCGACGAGGGGACUGACGGGACCGGGGUAAUAGCGCCGGCCAACUCCGUG
rnacentral:rRNA from 1 species